rnacentral:lncRNA from 1 species
GAGCGACACACACUGAAGCAACAAGCUUCUAAGAAUGGACUUCUCGACCGGCCCAAUAUAAGUUCAUUAGCAGUGGGCUAAGCCCAUGAUAAUCUAUCUCCACAGGCUCACGAACCAAUUUUAUUUAUUUAAUUUUAUUUUGUAUUUCCUGUUAUUUCCAAAAUUGGUUUGGUUGCUGCAUCAUAUGUCUGCCUUGUUUUCCGCUUCCUGCUUU